rnacentral:lncRNA from 1 species
CUGAGACACAAAUCAAAAUUUAAAAAAAUAAUUUUCAUAUCCUGAGUACACUCUUCAUAAACAGUAGGGUUUUUUAGAAAACUGAAAAUAUUUUAACAUCUUCAGGACUUGGAAAUUCCCUUUAUUUUCUAGUCUAGCACCCAUUCUGAAGAUGAUCCUUCACGACAUCUAGAAUGUAUAACAUAACCAGAAAUUUUCUUUAAAUCAAUUGUAUAUUGUUUCAGAGUGCUUGUUUAAUGACAAUACUAUUUUGAUAUAUGAAGACUAAUUUGCAUAAUCAAGAUUAUAAUAUUUUCCUAUGUUUUUUCCCCAAUGCUAUUAUGUUUCUGUAGGUGAUGAAAUUAUUAUUACUUUUCAAAGAGAAGACAACAGUCCCAAACAAAUGAGCAAAGUUGACAAUGAUUCUGAAGUACGCAAUCAGAAGACAUCAGUGCACAAAAAGUGGGCAAGUGAACGAUCUCUUUCUCUUCCAAAUGAAACUGAGAUGGUGGAAUUUAAAAUCAGGCAACAGACUCUGUUCCCUUUCCUUCUUAAGAAAGAGGAAAGCUUAAAAGAGCUGCCUGAUGCUGACCUGGAUUUUCCGGUGCCAAAACAUUGCUCAGAACCUAAUGUUUCCCAGUCUAUGAUGGGUAAGAACACCUUCCGGGUGACAAAGGAGUGUUUUCGACACACUAAAUCUGAUGGACCCUGCCCUUCCUUUGUCUGAAGAUUUGUCUAAUCGCUUAAACAUAUUGACUCUG